rnacentral:lncRNA from 1 species
CUGGCCAGUGUCUACAUUCGGUGGUCUCGCCUCUCUCUCUCCCGCACAGCUAACCUUCGGCGCCGGCAUGUACGCGGGAAUCUACAUCACCCAGAACUACGAGGUGCCGCGGGUGGACGAGCCUUCCAAGCUGUGGGAGAAGGUCAAGGACUGGGCGGAUGCGCACAAGAAGAAGGAUUAAGAGAAGGAUCGGUGGAGAAGGAUUGAUUUUUUUCUUUUCUUUUUCGGAUGGGAGGAAGGGGUUCGGAAUGGCUUGAGAUUUCGUCAACAACUGCGGCCUAGAUAGACUACGUUACUUCUUCAUGUUAAGCCAAGGCACCACACCAGAAACAAAUCAACUAGAUUUAAGGAUAGGUAGCGCAUAUUGUGCCAUAGAAUGAGAAUGAGAGAGAGAUAGAGAGAGAAAGAGAGAUAAAAAUAUCCAUUUGAUGAACAGAACACCUAUGCUUUGUUUUUGUUUUUUUGUUUUUUUUUUCUUCUUCUUCGCGGUCAAGGCAUACUUUGUACAGGUUUUCCAAGUGAUAGGUUGCCAGUGUGGCAUUUUAAUUAAACACUCAGGCUUGUUUGUCUGUUCGUCUUCUAUGUCUGACAGAAGAGAUGUUGGGACUAUUUUAAUUACAUUCUAAUUUUAUUCAUAAUUUUCAUCCAGUUAUUAUUGUUGAAGAGUGUAGUUUCAUUUCGUCUUAAUAAAAGUUGCCUAAUUUG